UCUGGAUAUACUCCAGCAGUCCCACUAAAGUGCUCAACUAAAUGGUAGCAACUAGUGGCAAGGGUUGCGCUCGUUGCGUCACUUAAGACAACAUCUCACGACACGAGCUGACGACAGCCAUGCAGCACCUGUGUCCAGGUUCCCGAAGGCACCCAGGUAUCUCUACCCAGUUCCUGGCAUGUCAAGAGCAGGUAAGGUUCUUCGCGUUGCAUCGAAUUAAUCCACAUCAUCCACCGCUUGUGCGGGUCCCCGUCAAUUCCUUUGAGUUUUAAUCUUGCGACCGUACUCCCCAGGCGGUUUACUUCUCGCGUUAGCUACGCUACUAAGGUCGCCCCCAACAGCAAGUAAACAUCGUUUAGGGCGUGGACUAC
rnacentral:misc_RNA from 1 species